rnacentral:rRNA from 1 species
UUUGCCUACGGGGGGCAGCAGUGGGGGAUAUUGCACAAUGGGGGAAACCCUGAUGCAGCGACGCCGCGUGUGGGAAGACGGUCUUCUGGAUUGUAAACCACUGUCCCCAGGGACGAAAAUGACGGUACCUGGGGAGGAAGCUCCGGCUAACUACGUGCCAGCAGCCGCGGUAAUACGUAGGGAGCAAGCGUUGUCCGGAAUUACUGGGUGUAAAGGGAGCGUAGGCGGGGAUGCAAGUUGGAUGUCAAAACUACCGGCUCAACCGGUAGUCGCCCCCAAAACUGCAACUCUUGAG